UUGACCUCAAAUCAGGUAGGACUACCCGCUGAACUUAAGCAUAUCAAUAAGCGGAGGAAAAGAAACUAACAAGGAUUCCCUUAGUAACUGCGAGUGAAGUGGGAAAAGCUCAAAUUUAAAAUCUGGCAGUCAUUUGGCUGUCCGAGUUGUAAUCUAGAGAAGUGUUGCCCGUGCUGGACCAUGUACAAGUCUCCUGGAAUGGAGCAUCACAGAGGGUGAGAAUCCUGUCUUUGACAUGGACUGCCAGUGCUUUUGUGGUAUGCUCUCAAAGAGUCGAGUUGUUUGGGAAUGCAGCUCAAAAUGGGUGGUAAAUGCCAUCUAAAGCUAAAUAUUGGCGAGAGACCGAUAGUGAACAAGUACCGUGAGGGAAAGAUGAAAAGAACUUUGGAAAGAGAGUUAAACAGUACGUGAAAUUGCUGAAAGGGAAACGCUUGAAGUCAGUCACGUUGACUUGGAAUCAGCUCUGCUUUUGCUGGGUGUACUUUCUUGUCAAUGGGUCAGCAUCAAUUUUGACCAUUGGAUAAAGUCAUUGGGAAUGUAGCAUCUUUAGAUGUGUUAUAGCCUGGUGAUGCAUACGGUGGUUGGGAUUGAGGAAUUCAGCACGCCACCAGGCCGGGUUUCGACCACGUUCGUGCUUAGGAUGCUGGCAUAAUGGCUUUAAUUGACCCGUC
rnacentral:rRNA from 1 species